AACGAACGCUGGCGGCAUGCCUAACACAUGCAAGUCGAACGAGACCUUCGGGUCUAGUGGCGCACGGGUGCGUAACGCGUGGGAACCUGCCCUUAGGUUCGGCAUAACUCCCCGAAAGGGGUGCUAAUACCGGAUAAUGUCUUCGGACCAAAGAUUUAUCGCCUUGGGAUGGGCCCGCGUUGGAUUAGCUAGUUGGUAGGGUAAAAGCCUACCAAGGCGAGGAUCCAUAGCUGGUCUGAGAGGAUGAUCAGCCACACUGGGACUGAGACACGGCCCAGACUCCUACGGGAGGCAGCAGUGGGGAAUAUUGGACAAUGGGCGAAAGCCUGAUCCAGCAAUGCCGCGUGAGUGAUGAAGGCCUUAGGGUUGUAAAGCUCUUUUACCCGGGAUGAUAAUGACAGUACCGGGAGAAUAAGCUCCGGCUAACUCCGUG
rnacentral:rRNA from 1 species